rnacentral:rRNA from 1 species
UAAUACGUAGGUGGCAAGCGUUGUCCGGAUUUAUUGGGUUUAAAGGGUGCGUAGGCGGUUCCAUAAGUCAGCGGUGAAAUACGGCAGCUCAACUGUCGAGGUGCCAUUGAUACUGCGGAACUUGAGUACUGAUGAGGUAGGCGGAAUUGACGGUGUAGCGGUGAAAUGCUUAGAUAUCGUCAAGAACACCGAUAGCGAAGGCAGCUUACUAAGGAGUAACUGACGCUGAGGCACGAAAGUGCGGGGAUCAAACAGGAUUAGAUACCCUGGUAGUCCGCACAGUAAACGAUGAUUACUCGAUGUUGGCGAUACACAGCCAGCGUCUUAGCGAAAGCGAUAAGUAAUCCACCUGGGGAGUACGCCCGCAAGGGU